UACGUAGGGUCCGAGCGUUGUCCGGAAUUACUGGGCGUAAAGAGCUCGUAGGUGGUUUGUCGCGUUGUUCGUGAAAACUCACAGCUCAACUGUGGGCGUGCGGGCGAUACGGGCAGACUAGAGUACUGCAGGGGAGACUGGAAUUCCUGGUGUAGCGGUGGAAUGCGCAGAUAUCUGGAGGAACACCGGUGGCGAAGGCGACAUCCUGGACCGGCAUUGACGCUGAGGCGCGAAAGCCAGGGGAGCAAACGGG
rnacentral:rRNA from 1 species